GCUUAAAAUUAUUCAACCCCCUGAUUAGAAUCCCUCACAACAGCACAAAUAUGCAAAUCAGGUGCUGUCUCAAGCACACCUGAUGCAACUAAUCAAGGGCUUUAUUAGUUGCACAGGUGUGCAUAAGCUGGAACACUUGAAAUACCUGUACUGGCUAGGAGUUUGUUGACUGUCACGUUUGACUGCAUGUUAGAAAUAAGUCAAAAUAAUGUUAUGAGAAGAGAUCAUCGCCCUUCACAAACAAGGAACAGGAUACAAAAAGAUAGCGAAGGCACUGAAUGUUCUUAGAGGCAAUGUUGGAAGCAAAGUUUGAAAGUUCAAAGUUGAAGGAACAGUGGUUAUACU